CAGGCCAUCAAACUCCAAACAGUCAUGCAACUGGAGCCUCUGAGGAUGGCCCCUUCUGCCGCAAACCCUUAGAUCAGCCUCUAGAGAAGCUUUGACUGCUGUUUCCCCAAAACAGCACCCCCUGCCAUCAGGAAGCAAGCUGAUCAAGGAAAGAAGAUUAGGCAUGGAUAUUCAGUUUAAAAUGGUAGAGAACCAUAAUAAUACCUACCUCGAAGUGACGAUAUAAACUACAUGCCACAGAGCACCUGCUUCACACAGUGUUGGAACCCACAGAGCUGCCACCUGGAAAUCCCUGCUCAUCUAAGGGUUGCGUCUAGACUCUGAAAGCCAUGUUGGUUCACCACAUGUAUCACAUCCUGAUAAUGUGAAGUGAAAAAGUAAAGCCUGGAAGCCUUUGUAAGACGACUGUGCCAGAGGAGGAAGAUAAAUAUCUCGAUGCUAUGGAGGCCUGUCAGCUCUUUGAAGUACCUGGGCAAUAUCAAGAUUUCUACUUCAGAUGAAAAAACAAACAGUUAUUCAUUGACCCUGUUGCUGACAAGAAAGAGAAACUCAAGAAUUCUGCUCUUGGGAAGAUGGAUUAGACGUAUUAUUCUUUACUCUUCCCACUAACUACAACUAAAA
rnacentral:antisense_RNA from 1 species